GGUAAGAUGGCUGAGUGUUUAAGCGGCGGAUUGUAGUUCCGCGAACAGGGGUUAAAUUCCUCUUCUUUCCA
rnacentral:tRNA from 2 species